rnacentral:rRNA from 1 species
GGAUCCAGACUUUGAUCAUGGCUCAGGAUGAACGCUGGCGGCGCAUUUAAGACAUGCAAGUCGAACGAAAAUUUACGCUUAAAGAGUUGAUUAGUUUACUAAGAGAUGAUUUAUUGUAAAUUUUAGUGGCGGACUGGUGAGUAAUACAUAGGUAAUCUGCCUUUUAGAGGGGAAUAACUAGGAGAAAUCCUAGCUAAUACCGCGUAAGACCACACUUAGGCAUCUAAGAGAGGUCAAAGGAGUAAUCCGCUAAAAGAUGAGCCUGUGGCUGAUUAGUUAGUUGGUGGGGUAAGAGCCUACCAAGACGAUGAUCAGUAGCCGAGCUGAGAGGCUGGCCGGCCACAUUGGGACUGAGAUACGGCCCAGACUCCUACGGGAGGCAGCAGUUGGGAAUAUUGGACAAUGGAGGAAACUCUGAUCCAGUGACGCCGCGUGAAGGAAGAAGGUCUUCGGAUUGUAAACUUAUUUUAUCAGGGAAGAAGAAAGUGACAGUACCUGAAGAAAAAGGACCGGCAAACUACGUGCCAGCAGCCGCGGUAAUACGUAGGGUCCAAGCGUUAUCCGGAUUUACUGGGUGUAAAGGGCGAGUAGACGGCGCUGUAAGUCAGCUGUGAAAACUUAGGGCUCAACCUUAAGCCUGCAGCUGAAACUGUAGUGCUAGAGUGCAGGAGAGGUAAGCGGAAUUCCUAGUGUAGCGGUGAAAUGCGUAGAUAUUAGGAGGAACACCAGUGGCGAAGGCGGCUUACUGGACUGUAACUGACGUUGAGGCGCGAAAGUGUGGGGAGCAAACAGGAUUAGAUACCCUGGUAGUCCACACCGUAAACGAUGGAUACUAGGUGUAGGCGAGAUAUCGUCUGUGCCGGCGCAAACGCAAUAAGUAUCCCACCUGGGAAGUACGGCCGCAAGGUUGCAACUCAAAGGAAUUGACGG